AGAGUUUGAUCCUGGCUCAGAUUGAACGCUGGCGGCAGGCCUAACACAUGCAAGUCGAGCGGUAGCACAGAGAGCUUGCUCUCGGGUGACGAGCGGCGGACGGGUGAGUAAUGUCUGGGAAACUGCCUGAUGGAGGGGGAUAACUACUGGAAACGGUAGCUAAUACCGCCUAAUGUCGCAAGACCAAAGUGGGGGACCUUCGGGCCUCAUGCCAUCAGAUGUGCCCAGAUGGGAUUAGCUAGUAGGUGGGGUAACGGCUCACCUAGGCGACGAUCCCUAGCUGGUCUGAGAGGAUGGCCAGCCACACUGGAACUGAGACACGGUCCAGACUCCUACGGGAGGCAGCAGUGGGGAAUAUUGCACAAUGGGCGCAAGCCUGAUGCAGCCAUGCCGCGUGUGUGAAGAAGGCCUUCGGGUUGUAAAGCACUUUCAGCGGGGAGGAAGGCGGUGAGGUUAAUAACCUCAUCGAUUGACGUUACCCGCAGAAGAAGCACCGGCUAACUCCGUGCCAGCAGCCGCGGUAAUACGGAGGGUGCAAGCGUUAAUCGGAAUUACUGGGCGUAAAGCGCACGCAGGCGGUCUGUCAAGUCGGAUGUGAAAUCCCCGGGCUCAACCUGGGAACUGCAUUCGAAACUGGCAGGCUAGAGUCUUGUAGAGGGGGGUAGAAUUCCAGGUGUAGCGGUGAAAUGCGUAGAGAUCUGGAGGAAUACCGGUGGCGAAGGCGGCCCCCUGGACAAAGACUGACGCUCAGGUGCGAAAGCGUGGGGAGCAAACAGGAUUAGAUACCCUGGUAGUCCACGCCGUAAACGAUGUCGAUUUGGAGGUUGUGCCCUUGAGGCGUGGCUUCCGGAGCUAACGCGUUAAAUCGACCGCCUGGGGAGUACGGCCGCAAGGUUAAAACUCAAAUGAAUUGACGGGGGCCCGCACAAGCGGUGGAGCAUGUGGUUUAAUUCGAUGCAACGCGAAGAACCUUACCUGGUCUUGACAUCCACAGAACUUUCCAGAGAUGGAUUGGUGCCUUCGGGAACUGUGAGACAGGUGCUGCAUGGCUGUCGUCAGCUCGUGUUGUGAAAUGUUGGGUUAAGUCCCGCAACGAGCGCAACCCUUAUCCUUUGUUGCCAGCGGUCCGGCCGGGAACUCAAAGGAGACUGCCAGUGAUAAACUGGAGGAAGGUGGGGAUGACGUCAAGUCAUCAUGGCCCUUACGACCAGGGCUACACACGUGCUACAAUGGCAUAUACAAAGAGAAGCGACCUCGCGAGAGCAAGCGGACCUCAUAAAGUAUGUCGUAGUCCGGAUUGGAGUCUGCAACUCGACUCCAUGAAGUCGGAAUCGCUAGUAAUCGUAGAUCAGAAUGCUACGGUGAAUACGUUCCCGGGCCUUGUACACACCGCCCGUCACACCAUGGGAGUGGGUUGCA
rnacentral:rRNA from 1 species